UACGUAGGAUGCAAGCGUUGUCCGGAUUUACUGGGCGUAAAGCGCGCGCAGGCGGCAUGGUAAGUAAGGUGUGAAAUCCAUCUGCUCAACGGGUGGGGUGCAUUUUAGACUGCCAAGCUUGAGGUCGGUAGAGGGGGGUAGAAUUGCUGGUGUAGCGGUGAAAUGCGUAGAGAUCAGCAGGAAUACCCGUGGCGAAGGCGGCCCCCUGGGCCGUACCUGACGCUGAGGCGCGAAAGCUAGGGGAGCGAACGGG
rnacentral:rRNA from 1 species